UACGUAGGGGGCAAGCGUUGUCCGGAUUUAUUGGGCGUAAAGAGCGUGUAGGCGGCCAUGUAGGUCCGUUGUGAAAACUCGAGGCUCAACCUCGAGACGCCGAUGGAAACCAUGUGGCUAGAGUCCGGAAGAGGAGAGUGGAAUUCCUGGUGUAGCGGUGAAAUGCGCAGAUAUCAGGAAGAACACCAUGGCGAAGGCAGCUCUCUGGGACGGUACUGACGCUGAGACGCGAAAGCGUGGGGAGCGAACAGG
rnacentral:rRNA from 1 species